UCCUGAAUGACAUCCUUCACGCCAAGGCCGCUACUUAUACCAUUCUGAGCUUGAAAUCCAGGAGAGGCUGUCCGCACAUGAAGGCUGCCCUUCCGUUCCUGAAGGGUGUCUCUCCAAGGUCUGCGCCCCCAUAAACUCGUAGUGCGCCGAUUGAUGAGCCUGUAGCUACCUAAUUGUUUCUCAUUGAGUUCAAGUUUUGCUGCAGCGGACAUGUUAUCAGCUUGUUACGUGCACCAGCUAGAAACAUGCGAAUGUCUAUAGUCCAGAUCCUGUCGGUAGCCCCAUUAACAUAGAUAAAUGUGUUUAAAUUUAUCUUGACUCAUCCUUAGGUUCAUCGUCUUUCUUGUCUGCGAGAAAUGAAGACCUAUCCAGUCACCGAUCACUCAAGUCACCUAGCUCCUUCCUCGAGAAAGAUGUAUCAAAAUAAAACUAUUAAUCCUAACUAUUACAAACCUUGAAAGUCGCGCAUGAUGAUGUAAAGCCAAGUCGUGGUCCGCUUGGUUUGAGUCAUACGAUGGGAUGAAGACAUUUUUGUCGAAACAUACCCGUGGCUACGGCUUAAUAAUUUGAGCACUUAAGUCUUAAUUCCGCAGCCGCGAUGAGGGCUUACUAAAGGUCGGUGCAAAGGGAGCAAACAGCGGAGAUGCAUUAUGCGUGCGAAGACGCGUUAGAGCGUUAGUUUUAUGAGAGGACGGAAAACUGAGGGCAACAGAGAUGGAUCCUGCACUAACCGGUGAUAAUGUCGGGCCGUGUCUGCCUAAUCUGUUGCUUCGACGGAAGAAGUGCUUCUUUAAGUCGUUGCUGCGCUGAUAGGAUCAACCAUAUUCCCUGAGUGCAUGCCUUUGUAUCAGUACGCCAACUUAAUCCGACCGCUAUGCGAGCAAGUUCAUCCCGUACCGUACCGUACUACCGUAACUUGGCAGCGAGCCUAUCCCACGGCUAAGGGGUCAAGCUGUUGUCACGCG
rnacentral:lncRNA from 1 species